rnacentral:sRNA from 1 species
UCCACGAAACUCGAAAAAAAAAUGAAGUGAUUUGGACGUCGGGAAGUUGAGUUUCGACAAGUUGCAGGUUUAGCCGGAUUAUCGAGGGAUUUUCCGGCGAGUUCCGUCAGUUUUAGGGCUUUUGAAAGAAACCGGUAACGCAGACGUCACCGGCACUGGACUUUGGCGAGCUGAGGAAGACGAAUGAGCAUAUUCUGUCAAAUCUGAUGGAAUAUUCUAACGGAAAAGGAUUCCUUGCGCGUGGAUCCUAGUGGUACCAGGGGGACAACCACAGCAGGUAGAGAUUGCUGCUAGCAGUGCAUGAUCUUCGAGACAAUCGGGUCAGCCAAGACAAGGACAAGGUAUUCAUGCUAAUAGAGGUCGUGGUGGACGACAACAAAAUCAGGGAUGUAUCCACAAUAUGACUCAGCAGGAUGCUCAGAACAAUCCUGAUUUAAUCAUGGGUUUUAAGUAAGCUGCUGUUGGUGGCUCGAGGAUGUCGGCUGUUCUGACUUAUCUAAAUAAUAGUAGGACAUUCCU